AAUCUAAAUGACCCGUUUUAAUUAAAGCAUCAAUAACUCUAUUAUACAAGAAAGUACGGGGUUUGACACCGAAUUUCUUCAUCUUUUGAUAUACAUAAUAAACUCUAAGUCCCCUAUUCGCAUCAGAAUGCAUUCUAAUUAAAAUCUCAAAUUGUUUCUCGGUAGGUGGCUUCCCUUGUGAAUCCAUUAACUCAGGUAAC
rnacentral:misc_RNA from 1 species